rnacentral:pre_miRNA from 1 species
CAUGUACUCCCUCCGUCCCAAAAUUCUUGUCUUACAUUUGUCUAGAUAUGAAUGUAUCUAGUCACGUCUUAGUAUUUUGAUACAUUCAUUUUUAGACAAACCUAAGAUAAGAAUUUUGGGACAGAGGGAGUAUUAU